AUUCACAAACCGGACUUUACAUAGGACACGAGGCCAUGCAUUUAGACUGGAAGAAAGAAGAUUUUGUCUAAGGCAAAGGAAAGGUUUUUUUACUGUAAGAACAAUCAGGAUGUGGAAUUCACUGCCUGAAGAAGUGGUUUUAUCAGAGUCCAUACAGAUGUUCAAACGGCUACUAGAUGCAUACUUGCAAGAACAGAAUAUUCAAGGAUAUAAUCUUUCAAUGUAGGGUAAUAACUGCUUGAUCCAAGGAUAAAUCUGACUGCUAUUCUGGGGUCAAGAAGGAAUUUUUUUCCUAGCUUGUUGCAAAAUUGUGCUUCAAACUGGG